UUGCUUUGGCAGCAUAUAUACUCAAAUUGGAGUGAUACAGAGAAGACUAGCGUGGCGUUUGCACAAGGAAGACACACAAAUUUGUGAUGCGCUCCAUUUAUUU